rnacentral:sRNA from 1 species
UAAAUAAUUAUUAUUAUUAAUUCAUUAUCAUCAAACUUAAGAUAUUUACGGAUUCCACUUUUUAUGGGUUUACGGUUUUUGCGGGAAAAUCACGGGUUUACGUUUUUGGCGGGAAAAUUAUAGGUUUACGUUUUUGGCGGGAAAAUUACGGGUUUACGUUUUUGGCGGGAAAAUUACAGAUUUACGUUUUUGGCGGGAAAACCACGGGUUUACGUUUUUGCCGGGAAAAUCACGGCUUUACGUUUUUGGCGGGAAAAUCACGAGUUUACGUUUUUGGCGGGAAAAUCACGGGUUUACGUUUUUGGCAGAAAAAUCACGGAUUUACGUUUUUGGUGGGAAAAUCACGGGUUUACGUUUUUGGCGGGAAAAUCACGGGUUUACAUUUUUGGCGGGAAAAUCACGGGUUUACGUUUUGGCGGGAAAAUCACGGGUUUAUGUUUUUUGGUGGAAAAAUUACAAGUUUACUUUUUCUCAAUUUUAUCGCUUGUAUAUUUAAGAAAUUUGA